ACUUUAUAGUUAUAAGUAGUAAUAUCUAAUAAAACUCAGAAGAAUGGCGGUCUAGAAAUAUUAGAGAAACUCGCUUCAUAAUCGAUAUUACCCGUUAAAUUUUACUUAUAAUCAUAAGCCUAUAUACCGCCGUUACAGAACUAGUUUCAAGUCUUAGUUCAAUAUUACUUUCAUUACAAAAAUCAGGUCAAGGUGUAGUAAAUAUAUAAGAGAAAGUAAGUUACAUUAAAUAAAAUUUAAGGAAAAAUUAUUAAAAAUUAAUUAGAAAAAGAAUUUAUUUGUAUACUUAAGUUAAAAUCCUAAGUAGAAUUAAUAAGUCAAGACGC
rnacentral:rRNA from 1 species